GAUGAACGCUGGCGGCGUGCCUAAUACAUGCAAGUCGAGCGAACAGACGAGGAGCUUGCUCCUCUGACGUUAGCGGCGGACGGGUGAGUAACACGUGGAUAACCUACCUAUAAGACUGGGAUAACUUCGGGAAACCGGAGCUAAUACCGGAUAAUAUAUUGAACCGCAUGGUUCAAUAGUGAAUGACGGUUUUGCUGUCACUUAUAGAUGGAUCCGCGCCGCAUUAGCUAGUUGGUAAGGUAACGGCUUACCAAGGCAACGAUGCGUAGCCGACCUGAGAGGGUGAUCGGCCACACUGGAACUGAGACACGGUCCAGACUCCUACGGGAGGCAGCAGUAGGGAAUAUUCCGCAAUGGGCGAAAGCUUGACGGAGCAACGCCGCGUGAGUGAUGAAGGUCUUCGGAUCGUAAAACUCUGUUAUUAGGGAAGAACAAAUGUGUAAGUAACUAUGCACGUCUUGACGGUACCUAAUCAGAAAGCCACGGCUAACUACGUG
rnacentral:rRNA from 1 species